GACGUAGGGCGCGAGCGUUGUCCGGAUUUAUUGGGCGUAAAGAGCUCGUAGGCGGUCUGUCGCGUCGAUCGUGAAAACUUGGGGCUUAACCCUGAGCUUGCGGUCGAUACGGGCAUGACUGGAGUUCGGCAGGGGAGACUGGAAUUCCUGGUGUAGCGGUGAAAUGCGCAGAUAUCAGGAGGAACACCGGUGGCGAAGGUGGGUCUCUGGGCCGAUACUGACGCUGAGGAGCGAAAGCGUGGGGGAGCGAACAGG
rnacentral:rRNA from 1 species